UGGAAGAGCAGACUGUAUUCUUAACUGCUGAGCCAUCUCUCCAGCCCCCUUUUUGCCCCCCCUUUUAUAAAAACCCUAAAUUAGGUGUAUUUAGUUUGAAGAUAUGGUAGCACCCACCAGAACAUGUUUCCAGAAUGUGAAUUCUUGCUCUGUCACCACACUUUUCAACCGUUACUCACCAUACACAUUCUUCUGGAAAUCUUCAACAUGUCUAGAACAACCCCAGAAGAAAUAUAAAGACAGUUCUUCCCUCAGGACGGGGUACUCCCCACAAUGGUGACUCCUAAGGGAUAGUAAACUUCUUGGGUGACUAAAGAAAGUUCAUGUCAAAAAGAACCUCAGAGAUUAUUGAAGUCAUCCCUGAACUUUAUAUAUAAGAAGCUUUUGUUAACGUCUUAAUUUCUAAUUAGAAACUGGCUGCCUCCCAUGACUGUGCCAUGUUGCUGUCAAAUUGUGUUGUGCUCCAUUGAAUGACUGUCUAAGGCAUGUCUACACCUGCUUCUUGGGUACGUCAGACACUGUCUGAAUGUCGGGGCAGUCUUGUAGUCACAGUGCCUUCUCUGAAUACAUUUCUGUUCCAUGCAGACUGCAGUUCAUCCAGUUGAGAACAGAACUUUUACAUCUUCGACACUAUGUUUUUCCAACUAAUCCCUGAUGAGUGCACAGGUCAUUCCCUCAUCUGUUCCCUGCUGAGUGCCUGAUCUGUGCUGGAUACUGUGGGCAAGAAUAUGAUGCCUACAACUAGUUUGUACAUGCUAGCAAAUUAAAAUCCCAGCACCCACCAGAACAUGUUUCCUUCUUCUCAGUCAUUGGACAAUGGAGCCCCAUAGAACCCCAAAUAAUACAGGCUAUUGGCAAUGGUCUUGAUAACCCAUCAGAACUUGAUGGUAAUAUACUCUUCCUGAAAAGACCAUGUUCAUGAGUCAUAGAACAUGAAUAUAGCUGAUACUCACAUGGACACUUCACAUCCCAUCCCCCCUAGCUUUCAUGGUGUGGUAGCACACUACCACAGAAGUAAAGUUGUCAUCAAUCACCCAGUUGUGAACCUUGCAAACCACAAUGACAGCUGACCUGACAAUAUGUGUCCACUGGUGCACUAGUGACACAUCUACUAGUGACAUAUCUAGAGGUUAUGAAACUGAUGGCUUCCUGUUUAGAUCUAAGCCUUGUUCUAUGAGAUAAAAUCUAUACUUGGUACUGAGGCUAGAUAGGUCUUGAGACCUAAGGGAAAACUUACGACAAUUAUUCUAAGUGGACAUAGAAUGAAAACAGUUCCUAAUGACUGUAUCUAUACCUAUAAACCAGUACAUUUCUCCACACCCUCUGUGAAGAAACUUCUUGUUCUAGUUCACAAUUCACACAGGAACCCACAAUUGCACAACCCACAAAUAAGAAGGUGUGAAGUGUUCAACCCUCUACGGGACAUACACAACACUCAAAGCCUCAGGUAUUGAUGGAAGGAGCUGAAAGAUCUUAAGUUCCAGAGAUUGUGGGAAACUUCGGGGAAACUAUUUCCCAGGCACAGCAGGGCAGAUGCUUAUAUGAAUUUGCAGUGAUUUUGACAGCCUGCACAAAGCCUGAGCAGAUCAAGUCAGACAAGAUCCUGGCAUGGAGGUAGGAAAUGGGAGGUGGGCAUGAUGUCCUACCACAAGUUGAGGGGCUAUUGGCAUUUCGUAGCUGCCGAGUGGGGUAAGUCUUAUUUAGUGGUAUAAGCCCUGGCAGGUCAACCAUACUUGGGGCCAAGUCCCACUUCUAGAGUAGUUGAGCAACAUACUAGGCUGAUGGAUGGUUUAAGAAGAAGAAAAUCAAGGUGGGGUGGGUAGAGAGAUGAGAGCCGAGAGGAUGGACCAGGGAGGAGUUGGCCAGUUAUUGGUUGGCCGUUCCCUCAGUCUCUGCUCCAUCUUUCUUCCUGAAUUUCUUAUAGAGAGGACAAAUUUAGGGUCAAAAGUUGUGUAGGUGCAUUGGUGUCGUUCCUCCACUGGGGGGUUCUGCCUGGCUACAGGAGGUGACCACUUCAGGUUCCAUAUCCCCACUCCUAGGAAUCUCAGCUAACGUCACCCCACCCCAAGACUCCUGGGAGCCUCCCCAAUCCCAGGUCUCUGGUACAUCCCAGAGAUGCCCCCCCAUGUCCCCACCCCCUCAAGCCACUGAUUUCUAAUCAUUCACAUAGCCCUCUAGCCUCUCUCCUGACUCCCCACAUCUGAUCCUAACACUAUUAAUGAUACUCUGUUAUGCUUGCAGAAAGGAGCCUAGCAUAACUGUCCUCUGAGAGGCUCCAUCCAGCAGCUGAAUGAAACGGGAAUCUUGUAGAAGAGUUGAGGGAAGGAUUGGGGCUCCCAGAGUGGUUAGCAAUACUACCAGGAGGACCAAUAGAGUCAACUAACCUAGAACUUUGGUGACUUUCAGAGACUGAACCACCAACUAAAGAGCAUGCAGGGGCUGGAACGAGGCCCCUUGCACAUACGUAGCAGUUGUGGAGCUUGGUCUUCAGGAAGAAACCACUGCCUGGGCUCAUAUUGGUGUGCAGUGAUAAUCUUUCUAGAAAGUUCGGGCUUCCUGCAGCUGUCGCCUUACUCCAGGAAGCUGUGAUGCUCCGGUUAUUCCCACAAAGCUCUGAGAACAGUCUGGUGACUGCCUUGCCUCUUGUUGCCUGCAAACCUCUAGCAGAGCAUUGCAUCUGUAGCGAGGAUAAAUUCCUCCUCCUUCCUGGGUUUGGUCUUUGAGCCGCUGCUAGCCCAACUUUUAGCUGGUUUCAGCCCCUUUUCUCGAACAAAAUAAAGUUCUAAACUCCAAA
rnacentral:sRNA from 1 species